rnacentral:rRNA from 1 species
AGUGAACGCUGGCGGUAGGCCUAAUACAUGCAAGUCGAACGGCAGCACAGUAAGAGCUUGCUCUUACGGGUGGCGAGUGGCGGACGGGUGAGGAAUACAUCGGAAUCUACUUUUUCGUGGGGGAUAACGUAGGGAAACUUACGCUAAUACCUCAUACGACCUACGGGUGAAAGCAGGUGAUCUUCGGACCUUUCGCGAUUGUAUUAGCCGAUUUCGGAUUAGCUAGUUGGCGGGGUAAAGGCCCACCAAGGCGACGAUCCGUAGCUGGUCUGAGAGGAUGAUCAGCCACACUGGAACUGAGACACGGUCCAGACUCCUACGGGAGGCAGCAGUGGGGAAUAUUGGACAAUGGGCGAAAGCAUGAUCCAGCCAUACCGCGUGGGGGAAGAAGGCCUUCGGGUUGUAAAGCCCUUUUGUUGGGAAAGAAAAGCAGCAGGUUAAUACCCCGCUGUUCUGACGGUACCCAAAGAAUAAGCACCGGCUAACUUCGUG